UCGCUUCCCCCAAAUAUUUUGGUUCCACCACACCCAAAUUAACUUCCCUCCCCCUAAUUCUAACCCGCUCAUUUCUCCCAAACCUAAUCGAUUCUCGGUGUUUGCUCUACCUUUCUCCCCUAAAUCAAUCAUCGCUCAACGAUCUAUGGAUCUGCAGUUCCGGUGAAAUCGUCCUUUUGGCCCUUUAUUCUCAUCGUUCGUAAAGGUCCGAUCAAUCUCUCUUCCCGAUUUCUUUUUUAUUUCUGAUUUGGUUUCAAAAGUUUCUGCAAUAAGUUGCUUUUUUUGUGUGAUUAACUUUAUAUAUAGAUUUUUUGAUAUUGUGGUGGAGGAAUUCAACAAAACAAAGAAAGAUUGGGACGAAGCCUAUCUUCAAACCCUAGCCCACAUUAAGUUCAAGUUGUUAUCUUUGUUGCCACUAUCUUUGUUAGUAAUGCUUUUUUUUUUUUUUUGUAAUUACACAUACCAUUGAAGUAUGGCUAAUGGCUGCAAUUAGUAGCAACAUUCUUUUACUUGAUUUCUAAUUUGGCAGUUGAACUUGCUAGGCUUUUAACUAUGUAGUUAAAACCUUUUGUUUAGACUAUACGGAGUGGGAGGGGAUGAGGAGGGGGCAUUAAGCACCAUGUGGCAGCCACGUCGCAUAGCAAGAGGGCGUGGUAAAAAAAAGCACGGAGUGUGAGGGGCGUGAAAGUUGUGUUUUUAAAACAAAAAAAAAUCAACCAAUUGAAACAAAUCCAAACAACACCCACCAAUCAUAGGUCAUCAAAAUACGACUCGAUAAAUUAUAAGUUACCAGAACGGACAUUAGGUCUAUAGCAUCGCGACAUUCAGAUUAGCAAGGCACUCCUCAAGGAGAUUUUGGCAGCCAAGAGAAGAAACAAAUCAGUGAAAGGUUUGGGGCUUGAAAACCUGAACAAACACGCUCCUAUUAUCCCUUCUCACCUCACAAGUUCCACUCUUUGGACAGCUUAGUUUCAGGCUGACAUCUUCUGCCUACAGGAGAGAGAUUGGGGAAAGCAUGGAACAUGUAUUUACAAUGGUUAGCCAACUUGCCUUUAUCUCAAAUGGGUUACAACAUGGGUCGGGCAUGGGGUUGUCUGAUGUGUUUAGUAAUCCAUAAAAGAUUCUAAAUUGUUUUAUUAAAAGAUUAUAUUUAUAUUAUUAUUCAAAUAAUAAAUGUUUCUCAUCAUACUUCACAUGUUAAAUUUUGUUAGUACGUUUAAUCAAAAGUGUUUUUCACACGUUACCUGACCUUGGGUUUUGCCUCCUCCAAUCUCAUUUUUUAUUCUCCAACUACUAUUAAUUAGACCUGCCAGAUCGCUGAGGAUUUGGGCAGAGCCUUCUCAGUCCGGUUAGUUUUACAAACAUUUCUUGAUGUUGAAGCAACUGUUCCAUAUAUUUGGUCGCUUCUCUUAUGCUGCAAUCCAGGUACGUCUAGCAGCGGAAUUUAAAGUGAUAUAUUUUACACUUGGUGUAUGUUAUUUACUGUAUCUUGCACUUUCCCACUUUGACCUCGCAGAUUGCGUUCACAGUUUCACAUUUCUGGUUUAUUUGGCAUCCAUACUUGCUUAUCUGGGUCAACUUGAUUAAGAUAGAGGGAGUGGAAUCUAAGUUUCAUUUUUAAAUGUUCUUGGUUAGCAUGAUUUGUUAGAAUUAGAAUCUAAAUUUCAUUUGUUUGGUUGAGAAAUAGAACUGAAACGUAUUCGCUUAAUGAUGAGUUUGUUUUGCGAUUUAAUGCUUUGUCCCGCUGGCGCAAUGAGCGGGACAAAGCAUUAAGUGUUUAUGGCUAAAAGUUAAUGAUGUUUAGUCAUAUAUUAGUUUAUUGACCCCGACCUGUUCUAACCCAGCCCUGUUCUGACCUGGACCCGUUUCGUCCCGAACCAAAACAACUUUUUUUAUAUUUGACCCGUUUUGACCAAUGACCCGACCCGACCUGACCCAUUUGCCAGGUCUUAUAAGCACUGAUCCUUAAAUAAAUUGGGCAUUAUGUACCAAGAGUAAAGGUGGGAUUAUUGUGUAUAAGAUUGUAAACAUGGGAUUAUUAUGUACCAAGAAUAAAGGUGGGAUUAUUGUGUACAAUAUUCUGAACGUGGGAUUAUUAAAAUCCAAUUUUUCUUAGUUUUUUUUUAUAAAAAUGUUAGCCUGCUAAUGUAAAACUUUGUUAAUUUUUUUGUAAAAUGAUUUUUUGCACUAUUACUACUAGAGGUAAAUAAAUAUUUGUUGAAAACUAAAAUCUAGGUCGGAGAUGAAGCUUUCCUCAAAAGCAUUCUAAACUCUACCGAGACUGUAGCAAGAGGAAGGUUUUAAAGCUUGGACCCAAAUGAUCUAGUUGGUGGUACAGAGAUUGGACCAGAACGGUGUGAGGUAAACGUUCAAGUACCAAUAAAAAACAUGAAAACUUGGUAAGACCAUGUGGUUUAUUUUCUACAAUUCAAGAUUGUAUUGGUGCAUCCAUCGCAUGCCCCCUAUUCAUUCAUCUAGGUAGUCCAUGAGGAUUGAGGACGCAUGAUGACUCAAGAUUUUAUGCUUCUUAUUUCUUAAAUUGCUUUUAAUUUCUUUGUUAAAUGUUAAGACUUUAUGUUAGAUAAUGUUAUAACUUAUUUAUGGCUAGUGUUUUUGUUAUGAACAUGCUUAUUUGAAUUAUAAUGAAGUUUUAUUUCUUUUAUUAGUUGAUGUUAUACAAUAACUAUU